rnacentral:rRNA from 1 species
GAUGAACGCUGGCGGCGUGCCUAAUACAUGCAAGUCGAGCGAACAGACGAGGAGCUUGCUCCUCUGACGUUAGCGGCGGACGGGUGAGUAACACGUGGAUAACCUACCUAUAAGACUGGGAUAACUUCGGGAAACCGGAGCUAAUACCGGAUAAUAUAUUGAACCGCAUGGUUCAAUAGUGAAAGACGGUUUUGCUGUCACUUAUAGAUGGAUCCGCGCCGCAUUAGCUAGUUGGUAAGGUAACGGCUUACCAAGGCAACGAUGCGUAGCCGACCUGAGAGGGUGAUCGGCCACACUGGAACUGAGACACGGUCCAGACUCCUACGGGAGGCAGCAGUAGGGAAUCUUCCGCAAUGGGCGAAAGCCUGACGGAGCAACGCCGCGUGAGUGAUGAAGGUCUUCGGAUCGUAAAGCUCUGUUAUUAGGAAAGAACAAAUGUGUAAGUAACUAUGCACGUCUUGACGGUACCUAAUCAGAAAGCCCCGGCUAACUACGUG